ACAGAAAUACCCAGCUAUCUGACAGCCCAAGUGUAAAAUAAAAAGGAUGACAAAACAUGUUAACUUCUCUGCUUUCCUCUGGAGUUGAGAUUGCAUUUUGUAAUAGUGAGGAUUUCAUCAUUUUGAAAACAAAAACUACUACCUACAGCCUACAGCCAUCAUGUUAAUAUGAGAUCUGUGAUUGACUGACUACAUCGAGAAGCACAUUCAUUAUUAAACGCAGUUGUGUGGGAGCAAAUCGGAAGCCGUGGCUGACAGCAGGGAUCCAGGCAUGGCUGAGGGAUCGGGAUGCUGCCUUCAGAUUGGGGAAUAAAACAGCUCUCAGGUGUUCCAAGCUUGAAUGAAGAGCCAAUGAGUUGGCAUUUGCUGUGGACCGGUAGGCAAACUGGGAUGGAUACAAGUGUCUUCUCAGGCAGGAGUUGAUGUUUCCUCACCAAACUGUCAAAAUAAUUCAUCACUGUGAAUAAUUGCACAUCCAUAACGAGAUGAGCCUCGUGUGUUACCAGACUACACUCAGAAGGACACAAUCUGGAAAUACAUUUGGUGAGACAUUUGGAAGUUUGCUGCUAAAGAACAGUGGAUGUGGCCCAGUCCAUCAUGGGUAAAGCCCUCUCCUCCAUUAAGGCCAUCUACAUCAAGUGCUAUCACAGGAAAACAACAUCCAUCAUCAAGAACCCCCACCACCCAGGUCAUGCUCUCUUCUCGCUGCUGCCACGAGGAAGAAAAUGCAGUAGCCUCUGGACCCACACUAUUAGGUUUGAGAACAGUUAUUACCCCUCGACCAUCAGGCUCUUGAACUAGAGAAGAUAACAUAAUUCAAUUUCACUUGCUCCACCACCAAACUGAUUCCACAACCUAUGGACUCGCUUUCAUCAUUUCAAGUUUUCAAUAUUUAUUGCUUUUUUUUCUCUCUUUUGUAGUUACAACUUGUUGGAUUUUGCACACUGGUUGUCUGUCCACCCUGUUGGGUGCUAUCUUUCAUUGAUUCCAUUAUGGUUCUUGGAUUUACUGACUAUGCCCACAAUAAAAUUGAUCUCAGGGUUGUAUAUGAUGACAUAUAUGUACUUUGGUAAUACAUUUACUUUAAACAUCUGCCACACAGGUCCCUAAUUUAGCAAAGGUGCCAAAGAGGUACAUUUUUGAGAACAUGUACUAGGAAGAGCUGAGAGAGAGAAACCAGGCCCAAGAAAAAGUCUGAUGUAAUUAUAAAUAAAAGUCUGUGAAUAUAAUUAAAAUUAAAUUUGCUACCAUUAUAAAUACAACUCUAUAAUUUACUCGGAGGUUUUCAUACACUCAUUUACAGCGAUUGCAGAAUUAAAUGCAAAUUUUAAAAUGAAUCUCAUUUUUCUUCCAGGUAAAUUCAAAAACAUAUUGAGAAAAAUUAUUUGAUUUCUCAAAAUCGUAAAUAGAGAUGAAAUCUGACUCUCAUAAUGCUUUGAAUUUCCUGAACAAGGUCCAUGGAAAGUUUUAAAAAUUCGAAGUUGGUGCAUGGGAACAUCUAUGCUCAGCUCUAAUAGAGCAGCUAUCCUACUCUUUUAUUCUCCUUCCAACACCUCAUAUUCCAUCUAGAUACCCUCCAACUGACGGCAUGAGCAUCAAUUUCUCCAACUUCUAGUAAUUUCUCCCUGCACUCUUGUUUUACAUUCCCCAUUCUUGUUCUUGCUCUCCUCUUAUUCCUUCUCUUCUCCACACCUGGCUAUCUCCUCCCUCUGGUGCUCCACCUCCUUUCCUUUUUCCCCAUGGUCUACUGUCAUCUCCUAUCAGAUUCCUUCUUCUUCAGUCCUUUACCACUUCCACCUAUCACCUCUCAACUUUUUAAUUCCUUGCCCUUCUCCCAUCUACCCAGCUUCCCCCUCACCUGCUUUUAACUAUCACCAGUCAGCUUGUACCCCUCCCCCCCACCUUCAGAUUAAGGUUUCCUUUCCAGUCCUGUUGAAGCGUCUCAGUAUGAAAUGUUGCUACUUAUUCCUUGCCAUUGAUGCUGCCUGACCAGCUGAGUUCCUCCUGUAUUUUUGGGUAGAUUUUCAAAAUCUGCAGAGCCCUGGCUGUUUCUAUUCCACUCUUAACUGUUUCAUGACUUUUAGGUUGGAGUGUUGAAACCAAAAAACAUCUACCCCACUCUUAACCGUGCUAUAACUACUGAACAUAUCUCCUUCGGUUUUCCAGACAGGACAAUAGUGAGAGAUGAAAGACUCAGAGCCUGAAACCUACUCUGUACUCUUUACUAUCUUAUAAUAAAAUUAAAUUUUUUGUUGAACAUACACACCAAACACAGGCAAAUGGAACCAGCUGAGAUGGAGCAUCUUAGGUGGCAACAGACCAAAGGACCUGUGUCAGUAUCGUAUAUCUCUGACUCAGAAGAUUUCUAUGGCAUGCUGCAGUGCUAACAACAGGUUAAUAAAUAAUUCUGAAAGAAUAGAGGAAGGUUUUAUUCAGAAUAU